rnacentral:rRNA from 1 species
CUGAGGAUAAACCUGAAUAGGGGAUUGGUCCUGGAAUGGUCCUUCCCAUAAAGAGCAAUCACCUAAGGAUGAGUUGGCGGCAGAUAGAUAGUUGGUGGGGUAAAGGCCCACCAAGUCUAUGAUCUGUAAGGGCCUUGAGAGAGGGAGCCCUGAGAGGGGUACUUAGAUACAGACCCCAGCCCUACGGGGUGCAGCAGGCGCGAAAACUUUACAAUGCACGUAAGUGUGAUAAGGGGAUUCUAAGUGCUCUUACACUGUAAGAGCUUUUGCCAAGGGUAAAUACCUUGGCGAAUAAGUGGUGGGUAAGACUGGUGCCAGCCGCCGCGGUAACCCCAGCGCCACGAGUGGGAAUCAGAUUUAUUGGGCCUAAAGCGUUCGUAGCCGGUUUAGCAAAUUUCCUGUGAAAUUGUCAGGCUCAACUUGACAACGUGCAGGGGCGACUACUAAACUAGGGACCGGGAGGAGUGUGGGGUAUUUCUUGGGGAGCGGUAAAAUGUUAUAAUCCUUGAAAGACCACCUGUGGCGAAGGCGCCACACUAGAACGGAUCCGACGGUGAGGAACGAAAGCUAGGGGAGCGAUCCGGAUUAGAUAUCCGAGUAGUCCUAGCCGUAAACACUGCGAGUUAGGUGUUGCAUAUUCCUCGGGAAUAUGCAGUAUCGUAGCGAAGGCGUUAAACUCGCCGCCUGGGGAGUACGGUCGCAAGGCUGAAACUUAAAGGAAUUGGCGGGGGAGCACUACAAGGGGUGCGGCGUGCGGCUUAAUUGAAUUCAACGCCGGAAAUCUCACCAAGAGCGACUGCAGAAUGAAGGUCAGAUUAAAGGUCUUACCUGACACGCAGAGAGGUGGUGCAUGGCCGCCGUCAGCUCGUGCCGUAAGGUGUCCAGUUAAGUCUGGCAACGAGCGAGACCUAUGUCUACAAUUGCUAACGUCCUUUUUCGAGGGCGCGCACAAUGUAGAGACUGCCCUGGAAACAGGGAGGAAGGCGUAGGCUACGGUAGGUCUGUAUGCCCCGAAUCUCUUGGGCUACACGCGCGCAACAAUGGUAGGGACAAUGGGAUGCAACUCUGAAAAGAGAAGCUAAACCUCUAAACCCUAUCCUAGUUCGGAUUGAGCUAAAACCCAGGCUCAUGACGACGGAAUCCCUAGUAAUCAGACGUCAUCAUCGUCAGGUGAAUAUGUCCCUGCUCCUUGCACACACCGCCCGUCAAACCACUCGAGUAGGGUUUAGGUGAGGACAAUCUUCUUGGAUUGGACGAAUCUAAGCUUUGCGAGAUGGGUUAAGUCGUCACAAGGUA